GGAGGUAGUGACAAUAAAUCACAAUGCGGGACUGUUAGUCUUGCAAUUGGAUUGAGAACAACGUACAACUCUUAUCGAUAAGCCAUUGGAGGGCAAGUCUGGUGCCAGCAGCCGCGGUAAUUCCAGCUCCAAUAGCGUAUAUUAACGUUGUUGCAGUUAAAAAGCUCGUAGUUGAAGUGAGGGAGUGUGUAGUAGGACCGACUUGAUCGGAACUGCUGCAACCUCCCCCCUCCAAUCGGUGUAGUGGGGUAUUCACUUAUUUCACUACUCCUUUGGUCGUUUACUGUGAGAAAAUUAGAGUGUUCAAAGCGGGCGUUUGUUUGAAUAGAUUAGCAUGGAAUAAUGAUUGAAGGCUUUCGUGUUCGAUUUGAUUGGUUUGUUCAUGGAAGCAAGGUUAAAAGGAACAGUUGGGGGUAUUCAUAUUCACUAGUUAGAGGUGAAAUUCUCGGAUUUAUGGAAGAUGAACAAGUGCGAAAGCA
rnacentral:rRNA from 1 species